CUACAGAUGACGACCGGCGCACGGGUGAGUAACGCGUAUGCAACCUGCCUUUGACAGGGGGAUAGCCCGGAGAAAUCCGGAUUAAUAUCCCAUGGUAUUUACAGAUCGCAUGGUUUGUAAAUUAAAGAUUUUAUCGGUCAAAGAUGGGCAUGCGUGACAUUAGCUAGUUGGUAAGGUAACGGCUUACCAAGGCUGCGAUGUCUAGGGGUUCUGAGAGGAUGAUCCCCCACACUGGUACUGAGACACGGACCAGACUCCUACGGGAGGCAGCAGUGAGGAAUAUUGGUCAAUGGGCGCAAGCCUGAACCAGCCAUCCCGCGUGAAGGAAGACUGCCCUAUGGGUUGUAAACUUCUUUUCUGCACCAAGAAUGGUUACUACGUGUAGUGAUUUGACGGUAGUGCAGGAAUAAGCAUCGGCUAACUCCGUGCCAGCAGCCGCGGUAAUACGGAGGAUGCAAGCGUUAUCCGGAUUCAUUGGGUUUAAAGGGUACGUAGGUGGCCAAUUAAGUCAGUGGUGAAAUCCUGCCGCUUAACGGUAGAACUGCCAUUGAAACUGGUUGGCUUGAGUACAGUUGAGGUAAGCGGAAUGUGUAGUGUAGCGGUGAAAUGCUUAGAUAUUACACAGAACCCCGAUUGCGAAGGCAGCUUACUAAACUGUAACUGACACUGAGGUACGAAAGCGUGGGGAGCGAACAGGAUUAGAUACCCUGGUAGUCCACGCUGUAAACGAUGCUCACUCGCUGUAUGCGAUACAUUGUAUGCGGCCAAGCGAAAGUGAUAAGUGAGCCACCUGGGGAGUACGUUGGCAACAGUGAAACUCAAAGGAAUUGACGGGGGCCCGCACAAGCGGAGGAACAUGUGGUUUAAUUCGAUGAUACGCGAGGAACCUUACCUGGGCUUAAAUGCAGAUUGACAGACGUCGAAAGAUGUUUUUCUUCGGACAGUUUGCAAGGUGCUGCAUGGUUGUCGUCAGCUCGUGCCGUGAGGUGUCGGGUUAAGUCCCAUAACGAGCGCAACCCUUACCGUUAGUUACCAUCAGUUAGGCUGGGGACUCUAGCGGGACUGCCACCGUAAGGUGAGAGGAAGGUGGGGAUGACGUCAAAUCAGCACGGCCCUUAUGUCCAGGGCUACACACGUGUUACAAUGGCCAGUACAAAGGGCAGCUACCUGGUGACAGGAUGCUAAUCUCUAAAGCUGGUCUCAGUUCGGAUCGAAGUCUGCAACCCGACUUCGUGAAGCUGGAUUCGCUAGUAAUCGCGCAUCAGCCAUGGCGCGGUGAAUACGUUCCCGGGCCUUGUACACACCGCCCGUCAAACCAUGGAAGCUGGGGGU
rnacentral:rRNA from 1 species